AAAAAACAGAAUCAACUGUAAGUACAGUAAAUUUAAGACAAAAAUAAAAAAAAAAAGCUUCUGAAUUAAUAUUGUUAAAUAAUACUGCUUUAAGUAACCAUGCAACUGAUCACACCUAUGACCAUGCAAAUUUGCAUACACAGUAUUCCAACAGUCUGUUUGGUACUCCAGUCACAACAAAGCAAGCUGGCUGCUGGAGCCAUAAAGACUGAACCUCGACCUCAGCUGUGCAGUCACCGUUCCAGCUUAACAAUGAUGGAUCUGCAUAAGGUGUGUAAAUUCCAGCCUCGUCAUCCUAUGCUUUCGUCUUCCUGGAAAAAAGAAGAAGAAGAAGACGACAGGAAGUGUUCCUGUUGCUGUUGACGAGCACGGGCGUGAGUUAACGGAGUGCGGAGAUUUCGAGGGUUCGUGUUAUCUUUCUUUCUUUCUUUCUUUAUUGUUAUUAUUGUUAUUAUUAUUAUUAUUACCAUUAUUAGUUUUAUUUUUCCUUCUGCUGUCGGCUAUGAAGCCAGAAAAUCUCCGGUGAACAUUACUGAUGAUGAACUAGCUUCUCCAGGCCAUAUAACGACAGUCCAGUGGUCAGCAUCGGUGUGUUUCAAGUGCGGUGCUGAGCCAGUGUUUAAAACGCUACGAUACGUCGCGUUUAAACUACGGUUCGACAGAAAUGUAGAUAAUGUGUGUUGAGUGUACUAACGUUUUGUAUGUAAGAGGUUUUUGCUCUCACCAGCGCGGUGAGCCAUCUGAUUCAGCAAGGAACAGAAUGAAUCAGGCCUGUGGUUUGGUAUAACAGCCAUUUCUUCCACCUGCGCUAUCUCACUUCCUUCGAAAAUACGACAUUAAUAUUAAGGUUAUCAAUUAUAUCACGCUUGAGGUGCACAUGUAUUGGUGUGAAACCAAUAGCACUGGUAUAAUAACAAUGCGUUUCGUUGCUGCUGCUUUUCCAGGCUCCCUUCGUAUGGCACGACUAGCCUCGCCAUGGCGCUUACAGGCGCUGCGGCUAUUAGUCCUAUUUUUAUGGGUGCGGGUCCUCUGUGUUUAAAUAGUUCGAUUUCUCUUUAAAAUUAAUCUCUGAAAACAUAAAAUAUCUUGGUUUAUAAUUGUUUCAUGGAAUGAAAAAAAUAGCCAGCACCCUUUAUUCACACAAAUUAAUGACUGAUUUUCUGGUGUUUUUACAGUAUUGCUACCGGUAUUGGCUUUCCUCCCUUUAAGGCCCCUUUUCACUGAACUAUAAGAUUGCUGUUUCCUGUGCAAGUUAGCAGUAUGUUUUUUCUUUUCUGAGUGGUCAUCUGUUAUUCUUCAGUAAUUACUGACGUUUUAUACUGAACAGUUUACUGCAUUUUUGCAAGCUUAGCUUAGGAUGGAACAAAACAGACUUGCAUCAUUUUUUUCAGUGGCUUAAAUUAAGCAUUAAAUAAUUUCAAGUUACAACUAGGGCUGCUGUUUCAAGUGGAAGAAAUAUUAAUAUAGCUGGGCUGCUAGACCCCAAAAGGACUGGUAAGUGCCAUUACCUGAUUAAUCUGGUGAGUGUGUAAGAUGAGUUUCGGCUCUUUAUCAUGAGAUAGCUUAUAUGCUAUGUAAGUAUUAUGAGAAGUUAGUUAGUGCAAUAGCUGAUCUAGCAGUACAAGCUUGUCCCUAAUUUCAAGUCACUAAUAACUGAUCCCUUACAAUAAUAAUAAUAAUAAUAAUAAUGAUAAUAAUAAUAAUAAUUUUAAUGUACACUAUUUUUGCCAUGUAUCACGGUGGUCUUGCAGGUUAGCUUUAACCUGAUUUAGUGUCUCUUUGUUCAUGCUGCUUAAUGUUUUACAUAGAGCUAUGUUUAUGUUUCAUGUAUACAUUAGUAGAGAUUGCCGCAAAGUCAUGCCAUGCAUCUGAUCUGAUGGCUAACUUUGCCUUUAGUAGCUGACAGGAUAAUGUGUCCCUCAGAGCUGAGUACAUUACACACAUAUAUAUGUAUAGAUAUAUAUAUAUAUAGAUAUGAAUAUAUAUAAUAUGGAGAGAAAGAGAGAGAUAGAGAUAGAUAUAGUCCAUCCCCUCUCCAAGGACUGGUAGAGCCCUGGCUGUGUGUUGUGGUGAACCUGACUAUAUCAAGGUAUUUCUCAAACUCCCACACUAUCUCAGCUUUCUUCCCAUUAGCCAACCUUGGUAGCAUGGGAACAGUUGGUCAGGGUCUUUGCCCUUGGCUGCCGCUCAGCACACACUGUACCUGACACCUUACCAAUUCUUGUAUUCUAUGGUGAAUGACAGUCUGGUUUCACAGUGCCAGGCACUGUGCAAAAAUAUAUAAAAAAUAAAAAAAUAUAUAAAUACUCUCAAGUAAAGUAAAGUAAAAAAAAGUUUUUGUUCACUUCUAUGUAAAAUAAGAUGUCUGGCAUCAGCAAGUUGUAUAACUUAAACAUGGCGUCAGACUAACUUAACAGUUCAUCUGCAUAUUGUAAUACAACAUCUGGAGGCUUACAACAACUUCUGUACCAGCUAGAAAGUUCGGUUUUUGAUCAGGUGGUUUAAUGAAUUCCCGCUAGCUUUUUCAAAGUAAAUGCUUUAAUUGUAAUUAAAACAAAGCUUUCUCCAAAGGAUGGCUGCUAUUUUGGAUGUUAGAAACAUGUUUUCUUUCACGCUACCUGCACUCUUGGUAAUGGCUCUGCCUCUUUGCUCUUCGUGGUUUGUUAAUGGACUCCAGCUUCAAGUUAAACUCUGCCAGUGUCAUCAUCACUACUGCUGUUGUGUUAUCAGUGUUUCUGUUUAAAACUGGGGGCUGUGUAGGCUUAAUGUUGCCAAACGUUUUAGUCACACGCUGCUCUUAGAUACAUUUGUAUUGCAGGUCUGUUUUUAGUCGCAAAUGUGGGUAAAACGCUCACUCUUACGUUCCCAUGGUGACAACGGCACGCUACAGAGCCAUGCCUUAAAUGAAGCAUCAACGCAAAGAAUUUAUGUUUGGAAUCAAAUGAAUCGUUGCAGCCUUAAUUCACACCAGUGGCCUGCUGGAGGUCAUUUUAUAGGCCAUUUUAUUUUAUACUUGUUAUAGUAUAACAUGUAACAUACUGCAUGACUUUUAAGAAAAGUGUUAUGUGUAAUAUAUGUAUUGAUUACUUUUUGAAUAAUGACCCCAGCACUGAUCACAACAAAGAAGGGAAACACCGCCAACACACACACAUUUGACCACAUUGCAUGUAAUUAAUUUGCACAAGUGUACUGUGUUUAAUAUGCUGCUUAACAAUGGUGGUAACUCUCAAAGUGGAGCCAUGGAGAACCUAAUUACAAUGUAUAAGAGCAUCAAUAGGGACUCCAAUCAAUAAGUGAUAUCGAUAGUGGAAUUGCAGUCAUUAAUUGGAGAUUAUGUAUCGGAAUUUCAGGAGCGGGACCACGCCUCCAAACCCGUCCUUCCGGUUCUCAUCUAUAUAGGUUCCCCCAGUUCUGCAAGCUGUUCAUUCUGGUUUAUGUGCCCCAGCCUCCCUCCCUUCCCUUUUCAAGUCUUUAACUUCUUCACUUCUAUUUAGUACUUGGGGAUCUGCCAGGCCCGGGAGCCGUUGCCAGUCCCCUUCGAGGCCUUCCCCAAACCGCAGCUCAAUUCAUGUCCAAGCAUUCACCUUUACCUACUAAAACCUAAAACCUACCUAAAAUAAAAACCUACCAAACCUAAAAUUAAGACAUGGGCCCAGCUAGUGAAAUUCUUAUCAAUUCCCAUCCCGAUUUACCUUACAGUAUUAUUCACCCUCCACAUCUACAGUAUUAUAGUACUACUCAUGCUCUUUUUUGAGCUUCUGCUGCAGCUGGUGUCCCUGUCUAUUUACUCUGAAAGAGGCUGUAAAACUUUGUGAAAGGAGUCUAAUACGUGCCAGUCAGUCGACACAUAUCAGAAUGGCGAUACUGUGUUUUUGAUGUUGCUGUUUUCGCCAGUGUUAGUUUCUGUUAGCUGUCAUUAGUAAAACUUUCCCCGAAGUGGAUCUAACUUUGUUGGAUUAUGACACUUAGCCAAUUAAACUUUUGUGUGAUGUGAGAAUGUAAGGAGACUGUUUAUCAGAGGGAAAGAGUUUUUUUGUUUGUUUGUUUUUGGGGGUUUUUUUGGGGGGGGGGCACUCAAACCUUCGAGAUCGACAUCUAGCUAAAACCUGGGAUAAGGUUCCUAUACGAUUUAAGAGAGAUAACAUACGAUAACAUAAGAUAAGAUAAGACUUUAUUGAUCCCACGGCAGGGAAAUUUCUGUGUAUGUAAAAGAAAGGGUUUGCCUCCAUUGAUUUCAAACAGAUUAUGAACAGAAUCUAUACCUUCCUCAAUACACAUCAGCUCACCAGUUUAGAGUACCUUAAAAAUAAAUGGGAAACUGAUUUGCCUAUGCCCAAAGCUGUGAACAUGAUAGCUUUCUCUUCUCUGUUGACCAGAAGCAUUACUCUUUCUAGAUGGAAGGACUCUUUGCCACCAACAUUUCGCCAUUAUGUUAGAACGAUUAUGUGUCAUAUUCAUCUAGAAAAGAUCAGAUACAUCAUUAGAGGAUCUGUUGUAUGUUAAUAGCAACAGGCAGCUGUUGCUAUUAACAUACAACCACACUAUUAUUAGUGUAUUUUAAAUAUACGACAAAAUAACUAUUUAUUUUUAUAUAUUACUGGGAAAAUAAAAUUGUCACAAAAAGUAUGGAAAGUAAUGUUUGGUUAAUUAUUUCUUUGUUAUACCCACUGUUAAUUUUGAGAGGAAAUUUUGAUUUAGAUUAAGUCCUAAUUUCUGUUCCAAUUUCUUUGUUUUUGCCUACAUUUAGUCCAUUUUUACUGCUCCACAGUUUACAAAAUGUCUUAUUUGACAUCAAAUGCAAAAUCUGUCUGUUUCUUCUUCUCAUCUCUUUUCUUCUCCUCUUUUUCCUCCAGUUGUUGACAUUUUGUCACAUUUUCAUGAGAAACAGGGAGCAUGGGAGCUAGCUGAUUGUCAGCACCUACUGCAAUCACCAGCUGGUGUCCGCUCCAAGCAUGCCAUGUUGACUGAUCUGAAUAGGGCCGGUGCUAUAGAGCAACUUCAAGCUGCCACAUACUGAAUGUCAAUUGUCAGCUCACCCACUGUAUUCAAGACAGCAAGUCAACUUGGCUGCUUGCACAAAUCAUUGGCCACUUUUAAAUAUUUGUAAUGGAUUAAAUUUAAGUGAAGACAUCAGUUUUUUGGAAAAUCUAAAUACUAAUGAGGGUAAAUUUAGUCCUUCUUGGUGCUGGGACCAGCCAACUUCCCACCACCAGCUAUAUCCACCCUGUGUGUGUGUGUUUCUCAUUUCUCAUGGCUGAUAUUUUUUUCUUUCUUUUUUUAACCUUUUGAU
ensembl:lncRNA